GAUGAACGCUGGCGGCGUGCCUAAUACAUGCAAGUCGAGCGAAGCGGGGACGGUUGAGUAACACGUGGAAAACCUCCUAUACGACUGGGUCAACGUCGGGAAACCGUUGCUAAACCGGAUACUCAUGUGUGGCUCCUCGUUGCAUUAGCUAGUGGGUAAGGUAACGGCUUACCAAGGCCACGAGGCAUAGCCGACCUGAGAGGGUGAUCGGCCACACUGGAACUGAGACACGGUCCAGACUCCUACGGGAGGCAGCAGUAGGGAAUCUUCGGCAAUGGGCGAAAGCCUGACGGAGCAACGCCGCGUGAGUGAUGAAGGUUUUCGGAUCGUAAAACUCUGUUAUUAGGGAAGCGGUACCUAACCAGAAAGCCACGGCUAACUACGUGCCAGCAGCCGCGGUAAUAC
rnacentral:rRNA from 1 species